rnacentral:rRNA from 1 species
AUUGAACGCUGGCGGCAGGCUUAACACAUGCAAGUCGAGCGAGCGGCGGACGGGUGAGUAAUGUCUGGGAAACUGCCUGAUGGAGGGGGAUAACUACUGGAAACGGUAGCUAAUACCGCAUACCAUCAGAUGUGCCCAGAUGGGAUUAGCUAGUAGGUGGGGUAAUGGCUCACCUAGGCGACGAUCCCUAGCUGGUCUGAGAGGGUGAUCGGCCACCCUGGGACUGAGACACGGCCCAGACUCCUACGGGAGGCAGCAGAAGGGAAUCUUCGGCAAUGGACGAAAGUCUGACCGAGCAACGCCGCGGGUGUGAAGAAGGCCUUCGGGUUGUAAAGCACUGUCAGCGAGGAGGCGUUACUCGCAGAAGAAGCACCGGCUAACUCCGUGCCAGCAGCCGCGGUAAUAC